UACGGAGGGAGCUAGUGUUGUUCGGAAUUACUGGGCGUAAAGCGCACGUAGGCGGCUUUGUAAGUUAGAGGUGAAAGCCCGGGGCUCAACUCCGGAAUUGCCUUUAAGACUGCAUCGCUUGAAUCCGGGAGAGGUGAGUGGAAUUCCGAGUGUAGAGGUGAAAUUCGUAGAUAUUCGGAAGAACACCAGUGGCGAAGGCGGCUCACUGGACCGGUAUUGACGCUGAGGUGCGAAAGCGUGGGGAGCAAACAGG
rnacentral:rRNA from 1 species